rnacentral:tRNA from 1 species
GGGUUGGUAGCUCAGUGGUUAGAGCUUAGGUCUUGAAUCUCGCCUGAGGCAGAAAUUUAUUUCUGGUUCU